rnacentral:rRNA from 1 species
AUGGAAGUGACCUACCUAACCUUAAGAUUUGACACCAGAUGCCUUCCUGCUGUAAACGGAUAUUCUUUCUGCGUUCGAAAUUCUUCUGGUGCCUUGUCAAUUACUCCAGCAACAUCAGGUCACCCUCCAGUAACAAACAAUUGCAAACAUGAUGUGGUCAGUUGUUCUGUAUUCCAGUUGAUAUCUCCAGCAACAUCAGGCUUUCCUCUUUUCAUCCAUCCAUUCAUUAAAGAGAGAGAACGGAAAGGAAAUACGGCUCCAAGCAAAUUAUAUUCCCAUCAAGACCCCAGGAGAGGACACUCGACUAAACAAUGUGCUUGA